AUGGCCUUCGCCAGCUCGCUCCUGCCCGCGCCGGCCUCCGGCGUCCGCGCGAGCCACGCCCCGGAGCUCGCCUUCCCGCCGGUCAACAGGAAGGGCGGCGUCUCGCUGCGGCGCCGGGGAGCCCGGCACGGAGGCCGUGGCUUCGCGCUGUCACUAGUCAGGGCUGAAGUGAAUGAAUCUGCAAGUGCUUUAGCGAUUGAUGCUCUCUCCCAAGUUAAGCAUGUUCUACUUCCGAUCACUGACCGCAACCCUUACCUUUCAGAAGGCACAAGACAGGCUGCAGCAACAACCACUUCUCUAGCCAAGAAGUAUGGAGCAAACAUUACAGUAGUUGUUAUUGAUGAUAAGCCAAAGGAGUCAUUCCCAGAACAUGAUACUCAAAUGUCAAGCAUUAGAUGGCAUCUUUCUGAAGGUGGAUUUACAGAGUUUGGGUUGAUGGAGCGCCUUGGAGAAGGAAAGAAGCCAACAGCUAUCAUCGCAGAGGUCGCAGAUGAUUUGGAGUUAGACCUGGUCGUCCUUAGCAUGGAGGCAAUCCACUCAAAGCAAGUCGAUGGGAAUUUACUGGCUGAGUUCAUCCCCUGCCCCAUUCUGAUGCUUCCCCUCUAA
rnacentral:rRNA from 1 species